rnacentral:rRNA from 1 species
AAGGCUGAGCUGUGAUGGCGAGCGAAAUUUAGUAGCGAAGUUCCUGAUUCCACACUGCCAAGAAAAGCCUCUAGCGAGGUGAGAGGUGCCCGUACCGCAAACCGACACAGGUAGGCGAGGAGAGAAUCCUAAGGUGAUCGAGAGAACUCUCGUUAAGGAACUCGGCAAAAUGACCCCGUAACUUCGGGAGAAGGGGUGCUUCUUAGGGUGUUAAAGCCCCGAGAAGCCGCAGUGAAUAGGCCCAGGCGACUGUUUAGCAAAAACACAGGUCUCUGCGAAGCCGUAAGGCGAAGUAUAGGGGCUGACGCCUGCCCGGUGCUGGAAGGUUAAGAGGAGCGCUUAGCGUAAGCGAAGGUGCGAAUUGAAGCCCCAGUAAACGGCGGCCGUAACUAUAACGGUCCUAAGGUAGCGAAAUUCCUUGUCGGGUAAGUUCCGACCCGCACGAAAGGCGCAACGAUCUGGGCACUGUCUCAACGAGAGACUCGGUGAAAUUAUAGUACCUGUGAAGAUGCAGGUUACCCGCGACAGGACGGAAAGACCCCGUGGAGCUUUACUGCAGCCUGAUAUUGAAUGUUGGUACAGCUUGUACAGGAUAGGUAGGAGCCUUGGAAACCGGAGCGCUAGCUUCGGUGGAGGCAUCGGUGGGAUACUACCCUGGCUGUAUUGACCUUCUAACCCGCUGCCCUUAUCGGGCAGGGAGACAGUGUCAGGUGGGCAGUUUGACUGGGGCGGUCGCCUCCUAAAAUGUAACGGAGGCGCCCAAAGGUUCCCUCAGAAUGGUUGGAAAUCAUUCGCAGAGUGUAAAGGCACAAGGGAGCUUGACUGCGAGACCUACAAGUCGAGCAGGGACGAAAGUCGGGCUUAGUGAUCCGGUGGUUCCGCAUGGAAGGGCCAUCGCUCAACGGAUAAAAGCUACCCCGGGGAUAACAGGCUUAUCUCCCCCAAGAGUCCACAUCGACGGGGAGGUUUGGCACCUCGAUGUCGGCUCAUCGCAUCCUGGGGCUGUAGUCGGUCCCAAGGGUUGGGCUGUUCGCCCAUUAAAGCGGUACGCGAGCUGGGUUCAGAACGUCGUGAGACAGUUCGGUCCCUAUCCGUCGCGGGCGCAGGAAAUUUGAGAGGAGCUGUCCUUAGUACGAGAGGACCGGGAUGGACGCACCGCUGGUGUACCAGUUGUUCUGCCAAGGGCAUCGCUGGGUAGCUAUGUGCGGACGGGAUAAGUGCUGAAAGCAUCUAAGCAUGAAGCCCCCCUCAAGAUGAGAUUUCCCAUUCCGCAAGGAAGUAAGAUCCCUGAAAGAUGAUCAGGUUGAUAGGUCUGAGGUGGAAGCGUGGUGACACGUGGAGCUGACAGAUACUAAUAGAUCGAGGACUUAACCUAUA